UGGGGAAUUUUGGACAAUGGGCGCAAGCCUGAUCCAGCAAUGCCGCGUGAGUGAAGAAGGCCUUCGGGUUGUAAAGCUCUUUUGUCAGGGAAGAAACGGUGAAAGCUAAUAUCUUUUGCUAAUGACGGUACCUGAAGAAUAAGCACCGGCUAACUACGUGCCAGCAGCCGCGGUAAUACGUAGGGUGCAAGCGUUAAUCGGAAUCACUGGGCGUAAAGGGUGCGUAGGUGGCUUAUCAAGCCAGGGGUGAAAGGCAUUGGCUCAACCAAUGUAAGCCUUUGGAACUGCAUAGCUAGAGUACGGUAGAGGGGGAUGGAAUUCCGCGUGUAGCAGUGAAAUGCGUAGAUAUGCGGAGGAACACCGAUGGCGAAGGCAAUCCCCUGGACCUGUACUGACGCUCAUGCACGAAAGCGUGGGGAGCAAACA
rnacentral:rRNA from 1 species